GGCAAGGCGAAGAGAAGGUGGAGUAAGCAGGCGGCGCGGUAACAGCGAGCCGGGUUGGUGGAAGCCGGUACAAGCGAACCUGCUGAAAUGGCCUUUGAGCCGCCUUUUCGAAAAGCACUUCGUUGGCUGAGUAGGGAAGGCCGGGGGGCUCCCGUUACAGGGCCAGGGUGUACGCGUUCGUAAGAGCGUCGUUGCACCCGCCGAGGCCGCAACCGUGAGGUUGUGGCGAAAACAGGUGGGACCACGAAGGCUUGAGCCUCUCGUCCUGUGU
rnacentral:ncRNA from 1 species